GUCGAGCGGAAACGAUCCUAGCUUGCUAGGAGGCGUCGAGCGGCGGACGGGUGAGUAAUGCAUAGGAAUCUGCCCGGUAGUGGGGGAUAACUUGAGGAAACUCAAGCUAAUACCGCAUACGCCCUACGGGGGAAAGCAGGGGCUCUUCGGACCUUGCGCUAUUGGAUGAGCUUAUGUCGGAUUAGCUAGUUGGUGAGGUAAUGGCUCACCAAGGCGACGAUCCGUAGCUGGUCUGAGAGGAUGAUCAGCCACAUCGGGACUGAGACACGGCCCGAACUCCUACGGGAGGCAGCAGUGGGGAAUAUUGGACAAUGGGGGCAACCCUGAUCCAGCCAUGCCGCGUGUGUGAAGAAGGCCCUCGGGUUGUAAAGCACUUUCAGUGAGGAAGAACGCCUGUCGGUUAAUACCCGGCAGGGGAGACAUCACUCACAGAAGAAGCACCGGCUAACUCCGUGCCAGCAGCCGCGGUAAUACGGAGGGUGCGAGCGUUAAUCGGAAUUACUGGGCGUAAAGCGUGCGUAGGCGGCUUGGUAAGCCGGUUGUGAAAGCCCCGGGCUCAACCUGGGAAUGGCAUCCGGAACUGUCAGGCUAGAGUGCAGGAGAGGAAGGUAGAAUUCCCGGUGUAGCGGUGAAAUGCGUAGAGAUCGGGAGGAAUACCAGUGGCGAAGGCGGCCUUCUGGACUGACACUGACGCUGAGGUACGAAAGCGUGGGUAGCAAACAGGAUUAGAUACCCUGGUAGUCCACGCCGUAAACGAUGUCGACUAGCCGUUGGGGUCCUCGAGACCUUUGUGGCGCAGUUAACGCACUAAGUCGACCGCCUGGGGAGUACGGCCGCAAGGUUAAAACUCAAAUGAAUUGACGGGGGCCCGCACAAGCGGUGGAGCAUGUGGUUUAAUUCGAUGCAACGCGAAGAACCUU
rnacentral:rRNA from 1 species